rnacentral:rRNA from 1 species
CCCUUAGAUGUUCUGGGCCGCACGCGUGCUACACUGAGUGGAUCAGCGGGUCAGGUCGCGCGAAAGCGUUUCCUAAUCUUUAAAUCCGCUCGUGAUGGGGAUUGACGGUUGCAAUUUUCUGUCAUGAACGAGGAAUACCUUGUAAGCGCGGGUCAUCAUCCCGCGCUGAAUACGUCCCUGCCCUUUGUACACACCGCCCGUCGCUCCUACCGAUUGAAUGUUUCGGUGAAGAUUCCGGAUAGGACUGAUUUGAUUUAUUUCAUUUCUGACCUAAAAGCUAUCUAAACCUCAACAUUUAGAGGAAGGUGAAGUCGUAACA